GAUGACCUCUCGAGAUCCCUUUCAGUCCUACGAUUCUAUGAUCCAGAAAUGGGUAGGGAAGAGGACAGAGGAUGGCAUAGCAUGAUAUGAGAAAAAGAGCAAUCCGGCCACAGCAUCCUGACUCCCAGAAACUGAGAGAGCAAGGAGGUGCAUUUUUCAGAACACAAAGUGCUGAUGGCCCACAGAAGGAUUUCAGCAGAGACAGGGGCAUGGGAGAGAUAAGGGGCAAAGUAGGGAUGACAUUAUUGCAAAGCACAGGGGAUACCAAUGAUGUCCACUUCAGAGGAGCAUCCCAGGCAGUCUAUUAAAUAUUGUUGGGUAGCUAAUGGCUACCAUGUCUGCCCACACACUGGCUGCACUGGUGAGUAAAUGGUGCUAUACGAAAAAUCACAUUCACUCUUGCUAUUCAGUGCC